UACGGAGGGUGCAAGCGUUAUCCGGAUUCACUGGGUUUAAAGGGUGCGUAGGUGGAUUGGUAAGUCAGUGGUGAAAUACUUUCGCUUAACGAAGGAACUGCCAUUGAUACUAUCAAUCUUGAAUGUAGUGGAGGUAGGCGGAAUGUGUCAUGUAGCGGUGAAAUGCUUAGAUAUGACACAGAACACCGAUUGCGAAGGCAGCUCACUAAGCCAUAACUGACGCUGAUGACACGAAAGCGUGGGGAGCAAACAGG
rnacentral:rRNA from 1 species